rnacentral:hammerhead_ribozyme from 1 species
AUCCAGCUGACGAGUCCCAAAUAGAACAUGACGCGUAUCCUGGAU